GAUUGCAGGCUGCAACCCGCCUGCAUGAAGUCGGAAUUGCUAGUAAUCGCGGAUCAGCAUGCCGCGGUGAAUACGUUCCCGGGCCUUGUACACACCGCCCGUCACACCAUGGGAGCCGGUAAUACCCGAAGUCAGUAGUCCAACCACGUGAGGACGCUGCCGAAGGUAGGAUUGGCGACUGGGGUGAAGUCGUAACAAGGUAGC
rnacentral:rRNA from 1 species